GACGAACGCUGGCGGCGUGCCUAAUACAUGCAAGUAGAACGCACAGUUUAUACCGUAGCUUGCUACACCAUAAACUGUGAGUUGCGAACGGGUGAGUAACGCGUAGGUAACCUGCCUGGUAGCGGGGGAUAACUAUUGGAAACGAUAGCUAAUACCGCAUAAUAUUAAUUAUUGCAUGAUAAUUGAUUGAAAGAUGCAAUUGCAUCACUACCAGAUGGACCUGCGUUGUAUUAGCUAGUAGGUGAGGUAACGGCUCACCUAGGCGACGAUACAUAGCCGACCUGAGAGGGUGAUCGGCCACACUGGGACUGAGACACGGCCCAGACUCCUACGGGAGGCAGCAGUAGGGAAUCUUCGGCAAUGGACGAAAGUCUGACCGAGCAACGCCGCGUGAGUGAAGAAGGUUUUCGGAUCGUAAAGCUCUGUUGUAAGAGAAGAACGGGUGUGAGAGUGGAAAGUUCGCACUGUGACGGUAUCUGACCAGAAAGGGACGGCUAACUACGUG
rnacentral:rRNA from 1 species